AGACUGCCAGCUCCGUGACAGCAAGAACCUUGUAUGACUUUUUCAUGAUGGAUGUUCAUCUGUGCCAUCUGUAAAUAUUGAAUAAAUAUUUGUGGAAUACAUGAAUCUAAAAGUGAAUGGAAUGAUAAAGAGGGAAAGGGUCAUGACAUCUACUACAGCAUUUGGCACAGACCCAGCUGUCUGCAGUACUAUCAAGAGAUGACAUGGACUUCAAGGAUCAAACAGGGGAGAAAAAGGCUUAAAAGAAAAACAAGUCUCCAUCAAAGGUAAUAACCACAAUGAGAACUAUACAUAGCUAUGUGCUUAUAGGUCUUAGUUCACAUUCCCCUCAUUAAAAUUAUAGCUCAAGAAAUAAAGGGCUGUUUAAUGACUUGGGUAUAUAAAUAUACUUCAUUUGUAUAUUUUUUACUUGCUAAAAUCUAUCCAAAUUGGUAUUACCUCAAACCAUAAUCUUCUACUGUAUUUUAUAAUUUUACUUUAUUGCCAUGUAUUUUUCCCACUGAUGUUCACAAAUUCACAGGAAACAUCAGCCAUGUACUAAAUAAAAUAUGAAUUGAAUCGACAAAUAGAACUAUAAAUUUAAUUCAAGCACAUGUAAAAUUUAGACCAAAGAAUAAAAA
rnacentral:lncRNA from 1 species